rnacentral:rRNA from 1 species
GCAAGUCGACCGCUGUGCUUGCACAGAGGGGCGAACGGGUGAGUAACACGUAUCUAACCUACCUUAUAGUCUGGAAUAACUGCGGGAAACUGCAGCUAAUGCCGGAUAGAAGUCCAUUGAAUCACUGGAGGACCAAAGGCCCGUUUGGGUCGCUAUUAGAUGGGGAUGCGGCGUAUUAGUUAGUUGGUGAGGUAAUGGCUCACCAAGACGAUGAUACGUAGCCGGCCUGAGAGGGUGAAC